rnacentral:rRNA from 1 species
AACGAACGCUGGCGGCAUGCCUAACACAUGCAAGUCGAACGAGACCUUCGGGUCUAGUGGCGCACGGGUGCGUAACGCGUGGGAACCUGCCCUUAGGUUCGGAAUAACUCCCCGAAAGGGGUGCUAAUACCGGAUAAUGUCUUCGGACCAAAGAUUUAUCGCCUUUGGAGGGGCCCGCGUUGGAUUAGCUAGUUGGUAGGGUAAAAGCCUACCAAGGCGACGAUCCAUAGCUGGUCUGAGAGGAUGAUCAGCCACACUGGGACUGAGACACGGCCCAGACUCCUACGGGAGGCAGCAGUGGGGAAUAUUGGACAAUGGGCGAAAGCCUGACCCAGCAAUGCCGCGUGAGUGAUGAAGGCCUUAGGGUUGUAAAGCUCUUUUACCCGGGAUGAUAAUGACAGUACCGGGAGAAUAAGCUCCGGCUAACUCCGUG